AGUCGAGGGGCAGCAUGNAACUUAGCCUUGCUAAGCUUUGAUGGCGACCGGCGCACGGGCUGAGUAACACGAUAUCCAACCUGCCGAUGACUCGGGGAUAGCCUUUCGAAAGAAAGAUUAAUACCCGAUGGCAUANUUCUUCCGCAUGGCUAGAACUAUUAAAGAAUUUCGGUCAUCGAUGGGGAUGCGUUCCAUUAGGUUGUUGGCGGGGUAACGGCCCACCAAGCCUUCGAUGGAUAGGGGUUCUGAGAGGAAGGUCCCCCACAUUGGAACUGAGACACGGUCCAAACUCAUACGGGAGGCAGCAGUGAGGAAUAUUGGUCAAUGGACGAGAGUCUGAACCAGCCAAGUAGCGUGAAGGAUGACUGCCCUAUGGGUUGUAAACUUCUUUUAUACGGGAAUAAAGUGAGGCACGUGUGCCUUUUUGUAUGUACCGUAUGAAUAAGGAUCGGCUAACUCCGUGCCAGCAGCCGCGGUAAUACGGAGGAUCCGAGCGUAAUCCGGAUUUAUUGGGUUUAAAGGGGAGCGUAGGCGGACGCUUAAGUCAGUUGUGAAAGUUUGCGGCUCAACCGUAAAAUUGCAGUUGAUACUGGGGUGUCUUGAGUACAGUAGAGGCAGGCGGAAAUUCGUGGUGUAGCGGUGAAAUGCUUAGAUAUCACGAAGAACUCCGAUUGCGAAGGCAGCUUGCUGGACUGUAACUGACGCUGAUGCUCGAAAGUGUGGGUAUCAAACAGGAUUAGAUACCCUGGUAGUCCACACAGUAAACGAUGAAUACUCGCUGUUUGCGAUAUACAGUAAGCGGCCAAGCGAAAGCGUUAAGUAUUUCCACCUGGGGGAGUACGCCGGCCAACGGUGAAACUCAAAGGAAUUGACGGGGGCCCCGCACAAGCGGAAGAACAUGUGGUUUAAUUCGAUGAUACGCGAGGAACCUUACCCGGGCUUGAAUUGCAACUGAAUGAUGUGGAGACAUGUCAGCCGCAAGGCAGUUGUGAAGGUGCUGCAUGGUUGUCGUCAGCUCGUGCCGUGAGGUGUCGGCUUAAGUGCCAUAACGAGCGCAACCCUUAUCGAUAGUUACCAUCAGGUUAUGCUGGGGACUCUGUCGAGACUGCCGUCGUAAGAUGUGAGGAAGGUGGGGAUGACGUCAAAUCAGCACGGCCCUUACGUCCGGGGCUACACACGUGUUACAAUGGGGGGUACAGAAGGCAGCUACACGGCGACGUGAUGCUAAUCCCUAAAGCCUCUCUCAGUUCGGAUUGGAGUCUGCAACCCGACUCCAUGAAGCUGGAUUCGCUAGUAAUCGCGCAUCAGCCACGGCGCGGUGAAUACGUUCCCGGGCCUUGUACACACCGCCCGUCAAGCCAUGAAAGCCGGGGGUACCUGAAGUGCGUAACCGCAAGGAG
rnacentral:rRNA from 1 species